rnacentral:rRNA from 1 species
AGAGUUUGAUCAUGGCUCAGGAUGAACGCUAGCUACAGGCUAACACAUGCAAGUCGAGGGGCAUCAGGACAGUAGCUUGCUACUGUUGCUGGCGACCGGCGCACGGGUGAGUAACGCGUAUCCAACCUUCCCCUUAGUAGGGCAUAGCCCGGCGAAAGUCGGAUUAAUACCCUAUGUUCUUCGUUGAUGGCAUCUGAGAUGAAGCAAAGACUUGUCGCUAAGGGAUGGGGAUGCGUCCGAUUAGGCAGCAGGCGGGGUGACGGCCCACCUGGCCUUCGAUCGGUAGGGGUUCUGAGAGGAAGGUCCCCCCACAUUGGUACUGAGACACGGACCAAACUCCUACGGGAGGCAGCAGUGAGGAAUAUUGGUCAAUGGGCGCGAGCCUGAACCAGCCCAAGUAGCGUGAGGGAUGACGGCCCUACGGGUUGUAAACCUCUUUUGCCGGGGGAUAAAGUGCGGGACGCGUCCCGUUUUGCAUGUACCCGGAGAAUAAGGACCGGCUAAUUCCGUGCCAGCCGCUGC